GAAUCCAGGGUCAUUCCUGAGGAAGCUGCUGUUAAAGCAACCAUCCAGGCAAAUUAGAGGAUGGCAAAUUAAGUGGAGAGAUGGGAAGGGUGGCAUCCAGAGAACGUGUGCUCUUGGAGAAGACAUACGGGCCAGAGCCUUGGUUCUCCAACUAAUAAGGAUCUUCAAGAUUUCAGCUUCAAGAAGAAAUAAAGAGAAAGUAAAGAUAAAAGAAGUCCUAAUUUAGCUAAUAAAGAAGGCUCUCUGCAGGGACCAGUCGUGCUAUGCUGCGUGUGAGAUUGUUCCUCCUGCAGCUUCCUCACAGUUUUCAAGAGGCAAAACAAGCUUCAGACAUGAGAAUAUAAAUUCCCUUAUGGAUAAUGUAUGGGGAAAUUAAGGUUAUACUGGAGAUCACAGGAAAUCUACAGGUAUCAGCCCAGGUUUUGCUCUGUUGCAGUUCCAUUUUUAACUCUAUUUACAACCUUCCUCUGGGAGGUGGU